rnacentral:rRNA from 1 species
AUUGAACGCUGGCGGCAUGCUUUACACAUGCAAGUCGAACGGUAACAGGCCGCAAGGUGCUGACGAGUGGCGAACGGGUGAGUAAUGCAUCGGAACGUGCCCAGUCGUGGGGGAUAACUGCUCGAAAGAGCAGCUAAUACCGCAUACGAUCUAUGGAUGAAAGCGGGGGACCGUAAGGCCUCGCGCGAGUGGAGAGGCGGAUGUCAGAUUAGGUAGUUGGUGGGGUAAAGGCUCACCAAGCCAACGAGCUGUAGCUGGUCUGAGAGGACGACCAGCCACACUGGGACGGAGACACGGCCCAGACUCCUACGGGAGGCAGCAGUGGGGAAUUUUGGACAAUGGGGGCAACCCUGAUCCAGCAAUGCCGCGUGCAGGAAGAAGGCCUUCGGGUUGUAAACUGCUUUUGUACGGAACGAAACGGUCUGGGUUAAUACCCUGGGCUAAUGACGGUACCGUAAGAAUAAGCACCGGCUAACUACGUGCCAGCCGCCGCCGUAAUAC